rnacentral:lncRNA from 1 species
UCGGCACGCGCCGGCUCCAACUGCGGCCGGCCUGCCGGCCUGCGAGCACCGGACUCGGCACCGACCCCGGUCACCACCCCGACGACGAGCGCGGCUCGGCGCCCGGUCAGGUCAUGGAUCCUCGCGGGAACUCGCGGGUGCUCGCCUGCAGGGACACAGAGAGGGAGAAGGGAGUUACCGCCGGGCCUCCGAGGGGGCGCCCAGACCGACGCGGCCCGCCUUUCGGGCUCGGCCCUUGAGGUUACCUCCAGCCGCCGCCCCGAGCGCGGGUUCCCUCCGGCCUCCACCUCCUCCUCCUAGCUCUGCUGCCGCCGCCGCCGCUGCCGGAAAAGGCGCCGAGGAAACCGCCUCACUUCCCCUCCCAACUGCGCACGCGCGCCUCGGCCCGACCGUUCGGAAGAGCGCGACCUCUGAAAGGAGAGUGGCCCGCGCUCUCGACGUCACGAGCGCCACGCGCCGGGGGGCGGGGCUACGGCGGCUCCCGGGGCUCAACGCCGGCGCCUCGCGGAACCUGCUGGCGUGGGGCUGGCCGUGUGCCCACCUGUCGCUCUACCCGGGGUCUCCGCGGGUCUCCUUCUCCGCCACUCGAAGGCGGGGCACGGAUCCACCGAGGGCGGGCUUCGUCGGCCCUUAGGACCGGCGCCCCAGCCACGCUUCCCAGGCUCGCUCCCGGACCCCCUGCGCGAAGCCCCUCCCGCUCUCCCCAGCCUUCCUUCAGUUUCCUGGAAGACACGUGGGAGGCCAGUGUUCCAUAGAAUCCGCCAAAGUAGCCCGCACUUUUUGUACUCGAGUUGGGUCUGCCCCUAAGCCCUGCCUUUGAAAGUUUAAACUCGUUCUUUAUAAGUCUGGUCUGAACCGCCCGCAUUUCUUAAGAAACAGACUAUCAGGGCCGACGAGAUGACUGUGGGUAAAGCCUGCCACCGAGAGGGCGGACCCGCCUUCGUUCCCCAGGAAGGAGAGAACCAACUCCCUUGAAUUGACUUCUGCUCUCCACGUACUAUAAGGAAACUCUUUGGGUUUUGUUCUUAUUUUCAAAUACUUUUUUUCAUUUAGUGUGCGUACGCACGGAGAGAGGUCAGAGGACAACCAAAGUCAGUUCUCCCCUUUCUUCAUGUGGGUCCCAGGUAUCAAGUCAAGCUUGGCGCCCGACGCUUUUACCUACUAAGCCAUCUUGCUGGACCAGGAAACCUUUUUGUAUUAAACGGAUAGUGUUAAGGUUAAAGUAAGGUGAAAUUUUUAAUAAAAAUAAACACGGGG